UACGAAGGGUGCAAACGUUGCUCGGAAUUAUUGGGCGUAAAGCGCACGUAGGCGGCUUUGCAAGUCGGAUGUGAAAUCCCUCGGCUUAACCAAGGAAGUGCAUCCGAAACUGCAGAGCUUGAGUACUUAAGAGGAUCGCGGAAUUCCCGGUGUAGAGGUGAAAUUCGUAGAUAUGGGGAGGAACACCGGUGGCGAAGGCGGCCACCUGGACGGUAACUGACGCUGAGACGCGAAAGCGUGGGGAGCGAACCGG
rnacentral:rRNA from 1 species